rnacentral:rRNA from 1 species
CAGUAGCCACGGUAAUACGAAGGGUGCAAGCGUUACUCGGAAUUACUGGGCGUAAAGCGUGCGUAGGUGGUGGUUUAAGUCCGUUGUGAAAGCCCUGGGCUCAACCUGGGAAUUGCAGUGGAUACUGGAUCACUAGAGUGUGGUAGAGGAUAGUGGAAUUUCCGGUGUAGCAGUGAAAUGCGUAGAGAUCGGAAGGAACAUCUGUGGCGAAGGCGACCAUCUGGGCCAACACUGACACUGAGGCACGAAAGCGUGGGGAGCAAACAGGAUUAGAUACCCCUGUAGUCCCUGUCUCUUAUAC